rnacentral:SRP_RNA from 1 species
CCGGGGAGAUAGCGGUGCCCUGUACCUGCAAUCCGCUACAGCAGGGGUGAUAUUCUGGCUGAGGGAAAUUUUCUGUGAAGCUGCCCUUUAUAAGUGGCGUUGAUGCUUGGGUCUUACGCAACAGAAACCUGUGAACCGUGUCAGGUCAGGAAUGGAGCAGCACUAAGCAGGAGCUUUUGUGUGCCGUGAGGGUGCCUGAGUUGAGUUAACUGUAGAGGUAACGUUCAUGGAGGUUUCUCGA